AGAGUUUGAUCCUGGCUCAGAUUGAACGCUGGCGGCAUGCCUUACACAUGCAAGUCGAACGGCAGCACGAGAGCUUGCUCUUGGUGGCGAGUGGCGAACGGGUGAGUAAUAUAUCGGAACGUACCCUAGAGUGGGGGAUAACGUAGCGAAAGUUACGCUAAUACCGCAUACGAUCUACGGAUGAAAGUGGGGGAUCGCAAGACCUCAUGCUCAUGGAGCGGCCGAUAUCUGAUUAGCUAGUUGGUGGGGUAAAAGCUCACCAAGGCGACGAUCAGUAGCUGGUCUGAGAGGACGACCAGCCACACUGGAACUGAGACACGGUCCAGACUCCUACGGGAGGCAGCAGUGGGGAAUUUUGGACAAUGGGCGUAAGCCUGAUCCAGCAAUGCCGCGUGAGUGAAGAAGGCCUUCGGGUUGUAAAGCUCUUUUGUCAGGGAAGAAACGGUGGACUCUAAUACAGAUCACUAAUGACGGUACCUGAAGAAUAAGCACCGGCUAACUACGUGCCAGCAGCCGCGGUAAUACGUAGGGUGCAAGCGUUAAUCGGAAUUACUGGGCGUAAAGCGUGCGCAGGCGGUUGUGCAAGACAGAUGUGAAAUCCCCGGGCUCAACCUGGGAAUUGCAUUUGUGACUGCACGGCUAGAGUGUGUCAGAGGGGGGUAGAAUUCCACGUGUAGCAGUGAAAUGCGUAGAGAUGUGGAGGAAUACCGAUGGCGAAGGCAGCCCCCUGGGAUAACACUGACGCUCAUGCACGAAAGCGUGGGGAGCAAACAGGAUUAGAUACCCUGGUAGUCCACGCCCUAAACGAUGUCUACUAGUUGUCGGGUCUUAAUUGACUUGGUAACGCAGCUAACGCGUGAAGUAGACCGCCUGGGGAGUACGGUCGCAAGAUUAAAACUCAAAGGAAUUGACGGGGACCCGCACAAGCGGUGGAUGAUGUGGAUUAAUUCGAUGCAACGCGAAAAACCUUACCUACCCUUGACAUGUCUGGAAUCCUUGAGAGAUCAGGGAGUGCUCGAAAGAGAAUCAGAACACAGGUGCUGCAUGGCUGUCGUCAGCUCGUGUCGUGAGAUGUUGGGUUAAGUCCCGCAACGAGCGCAACCCUUGUCAUUAGUCGCUACGAAAGGGCACUCUAAUGAGACUGCCGGUGACAAACCGGAGGAAGGUGGGGAUGACGUCAAGUCCUCAUGGCCCUUAUGGGUAGGGCUUCACACGUCAUACAAUGGUACAUACAGAGGGCCGCCAACCCGCGAGGGGGAGCUAAUCCCAGAAAGUGUAUCGUAGUCCGGAUUGUAGUCUGCAACUCGACUACAUGAAGUUGGAAUCGCUAGUAAUCGCGGAUCAGCAUGUCGCGGUGAAUACGUUCCCGGGUCUUGUACACACCGCCCGUCACACCAUGGGAGCGGGUUUCACCAGAAGUGGGUAGCCUAACCGCAAGGAGGGCGCUCACCACGGUGGGAUUCGUGACUGGGGUGAAGUCGUAACAAGGUA
rnacentral:rRNA from 1 species